rnacentral:lncRNA from 1 species
AGUAAAUAUAUGGCUGCAAAGGGCUGGGGGAGAUAGCUCAGAACAAGAUGCCACAGCUGUGCAUACUUGUUCCUAACUGAGCACCUGACAGUACUAAUGAGGUGCUUGGAAGAGAGGUGCUGCUUCACACCCUGUAGCCAAGACCUCAGCCAACUAACUGGGAGAUGGGAAAACUGCAAACUGAGAGCAAGCAGUGUCUUUGUACCUCAAAUUCAUGAUCACUUUUACGUGCCUGUUUUACUACAGUCAUAAGUAGUAAUGGUCCAAACAUAGUCCUGAACAAUUAUUUUCAUCUCUUCACCUGCUAAUAAAGCCUGCAAUUACUGUAUCUGUAAAAUCA